GAGUUUGAUCAUGGCUCAGAGUGAACGCUGGCGGCGUGGAUUAGGCAUGCAAGUCGAGCGAUCCUUCGGGAUAGCGGCAAACGGGUGAGUAACGCGUAGGUAAUUUGCCUCAAAGACAGGAAAAGCAUCGUGAAAACGGUGGUAAUUCCUGAUGUGGCCAAGAGAAGACAUCUUCUUCUGGCUAAAGGUGGGGAUCUUCGGACCUAUCACUUUGAGAUGAGCCUGCGUCCUAUCAGCUUGUUGGUGAGGUAACGGCUCACCAAGGCUUUUGACGGGUAGCUGGUCUGAGAGGAUGAUCAGCCACACUGGGACUGAGACACUGCCCAGACUCCUACGGGAGGCUGCAGUCGAGAAUCUUUCACAAUGGACGAAAGUCUGAUGAUGCGACGCCGCGUGCAGGACGAAGGCCUUCGGGUUGUAAACUGCUUUUGUUUGGAAAGAAACCUGCAACUCUAACAUAGUUGCAGCUGACGGUACCAUUCGAAUAAGCCACGGCCAACUCCGUGCCAGCAGCCGCGGUAAUACGGAGGUG
rnacentral:rRNA from 1 species